rnacentral:rRNA from 1 species
CAGGGAAUUUUGCACAAUGGGCGCAAGCCUGAUGCAGCGACGCCGCGUGGGGGAUGAAUGCCUUCGGGUUGUAAACCCCUUUUCAGGAGGGACGAAGCGAAAGUGACGGUACCUCCAGAAGAAGCCCCGGCCAACUACGUGCCAGCAGCCGCGGUAAUACGUAGGGGGCGAGCGUUGUCCGGAUUUAUUGGGCGUAAAGAGCUCGUAGGCGGCUCAACAAGUCGGCCGUGAAAGCCUGAGGCUCAACCUCAGGACGCCGGUCGAAAACUGUUGUGGCUAGGGGUUCGGUAGAGGAGAGUGGAAUUCCCGGUGUAGCGGUGAAAUGCGCAGAUAUCGGGAGGAACACCAGUAGCGAAGGCGGCUCUCUGGGCCGACACCGACGCUGAGGAGCGAAAGCUAGGGGAGCAAACAGGAUUAGAUACCCUGGUAGUCCACGCCGUAAACGAUGAGUGCUAGAUGUUGGGA